rnacentral:tRNA from 3 species
UGCGAGGUAGAGCAGAGGUAGCUCGUCGGGCUCAUAACCCGAAGGUCAGAGGUUCGAAUCCCCUCCUCGCUACAA